rnacentral:piRNA from 1 species
UGUGGCCAUUGGACAUUUUGGUGACAUUU